rnacentral:rRNA from 1 species
UACGUAGGGUGCGAGCGUUAAUCGGAAUUACUGGGCGUAAAGCGUGCGCAGGCGGUGAUGUAAGACAGUUGUGAAAUCCCCGGGCUCAACCUGGGAACUGCAUCUGUGACUGCAUUGCUGGAGUGCGGCAGAGGGGGAUGGAAUUCCGCGUGUAGCAGUGAGAUGCGUAGAUAUGCGGAGGAACACCGAUGGCGAAGGCAAUCCCCUGGGCCUGCACUGACGCUCAUGCACGAAAGCGUGGGGAGCAAACAGG